rnacentral:rRNA from 1 species
UACGUAGGUGGCGAGCGUUGUCCGGAUUUAUUGGGUUUAAAGGGUGCGUAGGCGGUCCUAUAAGUCAGUGGUGAAAUAUCGCAGCUUAACUGUGAGGGUGCCAUUGAUACUGUAGGACUUGAGUGAAUUUGAGGUAGGCGGAAUUGACGGUGUAGCGGUGAAAUGCUUAGAUAUCGUCAAGAACACCGAUAGUGAAGACAGCUUACCAAGCUUCAACUGACGCUGAGGCACGAAAGCGUGGGGAGCAAACAGG